AGUCGANCGGCAGCACGGGAGCUUGCUCCUGGUGGCGAGUGGCGAACGGGUGAGUAAUAUAUCGGAACGUAUCCAAUAAUGGGGGAUAACUAAUCGAAAGGUUGGCUAAUACCGCAUACGCCCUGAGGGGGAAAGCUGGGGAUCUUCGGACCUAGCGUUGAUGGAGCGGCCGAUAUCGGAUUAGCUAGUUGGUGAGGUAAAGGCUCACCAAGGCGACGAUCCGUAGCUGGUCUGAGAGGACGACCAGCCACACUGGAACUGAGACACGGUCCAGACUCCUACGGGAGGCAGCAGUGGGGAAUUUUGGACAAUGGGCGCAAGCCUGAUCCAGCCAUUCCGCGUGAGUGAAGAAGGCCUUCGGGUUGUAAAGCUCUUUCGCAAGGGAAGAAACGAUUUAGGUGAAUAAUCUAAGUUAAUGACGGUACCUUGAUAAGAAGCACCGGCUAACUACGUGCCAGCAGCCGCGGUAAUACGUAGGGUGCGAGCGUUAAUCGGAAUUACUGGGCGUAAAGCGUGCGCAGGCUGUUUUGUAAGUCAGAUGUGAAAUCCCCGAGCUCAACUUGGGAACUGCGUUUGAAACUACAAGACUAGAAUAUGUCAGAGGGGGGUAGAAUUCCACGUGUAGCAGUGAAAUGCGUAGAGAUGUGGAGGAAUAUCAAUGGCGAAGGCAGCCCCCUGGGAUAAUAUUGGCGCUCAUGCACGAAAGCGUGGGGAGCAAACAGGAUUANAUACCCUGGUAGUCCACGCCCUAAACGAUGUCNACUAGUUGUUGNUAGAGUAAAAUCUAUGAGUAACGCAGCUAACGCGUGAAGUUGACCGCCUGGGGAGUACGAUCGCAAGAUUAAAACUCAAAUGAAUUGACGGGGGGCCCGCACAAGCGGNNGNNNUAUGUGGANUAAUUCNNUGCAACGCGAAAAACCNU
rnacentral:rRNA from 1 species